CCUACGGGAGGCAGCAGUGAGGAAUAUUGGUCAAUGGACGAGAGUCUGAACCAGCCAAGUAGCGUGAAGGAUGACUGCCCUAUGGGUUGUAAACUUCUUUUAUAUGGGAAUAAAACGAGGCACGUGUGGUGUUUUGUAUGUACCUUAUGAAUAAGGAUCGGCUAACUCCGUGCCAGCAGCCGCGGUAAUACGGAGGAUCCGAGCGUUAUCCGGAUUUAUUGGGUUUAAAGGGAGCGUAGAUGGGUUGUUAAGUCAGUUGUGAAAGUUUGCGGCUCAACCGUAAAAUUGCAGUUGAUACUGGCAGUCUUGAGUACAGUAGAGGUAGGCGGAAUUCGUGGUGUAGCGGUGAAAUGCUUAGAUAUCACGAAGAACCCCGAUUGCGAAGGCAGCUUACUGGACUGUAACUGACACUGAUGCUCGAAAGUGUGGGUAUCAAACAGGAUUAGAUACCCGUGUAGUC
rnacentral:rRNA from 1 species